CCUACGGGAUGCAGCAGUGGGGAAUUUUGGACAAUGGGCGCAAGCCUGAUCCAGCAAUGCCGCGUGCAGGAUGAAGGCCUUCGGGUUGUAAACUGCUUUUGUACGGAACGAAACGGUGAGCUCUAAUACAGUUUGCUAAUGACGGUACCGUAAGAAUAAGCACCGGCUAACUACGUGCCAGCAGCCGCGGUAAUACGUAGGGUGCGAGCGUUAAUCGGAAUUACUGGGCGUAAAGCGUGCGCAGGCGGUGAUGUAAGACAGAUGUGAAAUGCCCGGGCUCAACCUGGGACCUGCAUUUGUGACUGCAUCGCUAGAGUACGGUAGAGGGGGACGGAAUUCCGCGUGUAGCAGUGAAAUGCGUAGAUAUGCGGAGGAACACCGAUGGCGAAGGCAAUCCCCUGGACCUGUACUGACGCUCAUGCACGAAAGCGUGGGGAGCAAACAGGAUUAGAUACCCUGGUAGUCCACGCCCUAAACGAUGUCAACUGGUUGUUGGGUCUUCACUGACUCAGUAACGAAGCUAACGCGUGAAGUUGACCGCCUGGGGAGUACGGCCCGCAAGGUUGAAACUUCGAAAUGAAUUGACGGCUGAGGCGNGCGAGGCGACACGAGGGAGAGG
rnacentral:rRNA from 1 species